CCGCGUCAGUCCGCCAGCCACCAGGCUAGAAGGAGAAGCCAUCCAAUCCAUCCGGUAUUGCAUCCAUCUACAAAUUACCAAGGUAAUUUUUCUCUGUUUUUUAAACUAACCUGAAGCUUUUUUUUGUUGUAAAUUUCCACUGCUAGAAGCCAAUGAUCUGCGACAGAUUGAUUGCUACUAUAUUCUUGAAUAAAUUGUAAUUGUUUGUCCAAUUGACCAUCAGUACAUGCCACAUUGCCACUGAUUGCUACUUUUUAAAUACAAUUGUUUGUCCAUUUAGUCCAUGCCACAUUACCACUGUCACUGAUUUCUACUUUUUUUGUGUGAUGUAGAUGAAGAAGAAGUAUGUUGGCAUAUUUGAAAUGUGGGACAGAUCUUCAAAUUAAGGCAAGGAAAACAACUUUUACAUCCAUAUUUAUUAUUCUGUUAUAUUGCUUUAGCCAAAAAAAAUACUACUAUUAUUGAUGUACAUGGUCAUCGAGUCAUUGAUAUUGCCACAAUGAUUUUUUGUGGCAUCGGUGUAUGGUCAUCGGGUCAUGCUUAUUAUAUUGUUGUUAGAGAUAUUACCACAAUGAUAUUUUGCUAUUAUUAUCGAUGGAUGGUAAUCGAGUCAUUGAUGUUACCAUCUUAUUGCACAUGUUGUUAUAUUAUAUUGGUUAGGAAAA
rnacentral:lncRNA from 1 species